CCUGGUGACCUUGUUAAAAUGCAGAUUCUGAUUCAGUAGGUCGGAGGUGGGGCCUGAGAAUCAACAUUCUAACAAGCUCCCAGGUGAUGCUGAUGCCCCAGAUCCAUGGACUACAUUUUGAGUAGCCA
rnacentral:miRNA from 1 species